AUUGAACGCUCGCGGAAUGCCUAACACAUGCAAGUCGAACGAGUGGCGGACGGGUGAGUAAUUUCUCGGAAACUGCCUGAUGGCGGGGGAUAACUACUGGAAACGGUAGCUACUACCGCAUACCAUCAGAGUUGCCCAUAUUGGAUUAGCUUGUUUGUGGGGUAACGGCUCACCAAGGCGACGAUCCCUAGCUGGUCUGAGAGGAUGACCAGCCACACUGGAACUGAGACACGGUCCAGACUCCUACGGGAGGCAGCAGUGGGGAAUAUUGGACAAUGGGCGCAAGCCUGAUGCAGCCAUGCCGCGUGUAUGAAGAAGGCCUUCGGGUUGUAAAGUACUUUCAGCGGGGAGGCGUUACCUGCAGAAGAAGCACCGGCUAACUCCGUGCCAGCAGCCGCGGUAAUUC
rnacentral:rRNA from 1 species